rnacentral:misc_RNA from 1 species
AAGUCGUAACAAGGUUUCCGUAGGUGAACCUGCGGAAGGAUCAUUAUCGUGGGGCUUCGGCCCUCUCGAGAUAGAACCCUUGCCUUUUUGAGUACCUUUCGUUUCCUCGGCGGGCUCGCCAGCCAAUGGGGACCACAAUAAACCCUUUGUAAUACCUGUAAUCGUCUGACAAAACAAACAAAAAUUAAAACUUUCAACAACGGAUCUCUUGGUUCUG